GAUGAACGCUAGCGGCAGGCCUAACACAUGCAAGUCGAGGGGUAGAACACUUCGGUGUUUGAGACCGGCGCACGGGUGCGUAACGCGUAUGCAAUCUACCUUGUACAGGGGAAUAGCCCAGAGAAAUUUGGAUUAAUGCCCCAUAGUAUAUAACCUUCGCAUGUUGGUUAUAUUAAAGUUCCAACGGUACAAGAUGAGCAUGCGUCCCAUUAGUUAGUUGGUAAGGUAACGGCUUACCAAGACGAUGAUGGGUAGGGGUCCUGAGAGGGAGCUCCCCCACUCUGGUAAUGAGACAAGGACCAGACUCCUUCGGGAGGCAGAAGUGAGGAAUAUUGGUCAAUGGGCGCAAGCCUGAACCAGCCAUGCCGCGUGCAGGAAGACGGUCCUAUGGAUUGUAAACUGCUUUUAUACAGGAAGAAACCCUCCCACGUGUGGGAGAUUGACGGUACUGUAGGAAUAAGGAUCGGCUAACUCCGUGCCAGCCGCCGCAGUAACAC
rnacentral:rRNA from 1 species